CUACGUGCCAGCAGCCGCGGUAAUACGGAAGGUCCGGGCGUUAUCCGGAUUUAUUGGGUUUAAAGGGAGCGUAGGCCGGAGAUUAAGUGUGUUGUGAAAUGUAGACGCUCAACGUCUGACUUGCAGCGCAUACUGGUUUCCUUGAGUACGCGCAACGUUGGCGGAAUUCGUCGUGUAGCGGUGAAAUGCUUAGAUAUGACGAAGAACUCCGAUUGCGAAGGCAGCUGACGGGAGCGCAACUGACGCUUAAGCUCGAAGGUGCGGGUAUCGAACAGGAUUAGAUACCCUGGUAGUCCGCACAGUAAACGAUGGAUGCCCGCUGUUGGUACCUGGUAUCAGCGGCUAAGCGAAAGCAUUAAGCAUCCCACCUGGGGAGUACGCCGGCAACGGUGAAACUCAAAGGAAUUGACGGGGGCCCGCACAAGCGGAGGAACAUGUGGUUUAAUUCGAUGAUACGCGAGGAACCUUACCCGGGCUUGAA
rnacentral:rRNA from 1 species